GGUUCUCUUUCAUCGUUCACCUCCCCGUGGUGAGAACCGGGCAACACAACAUUUCAGAGUGGCAAAGAAACGAUU
rnacentral:ribozyme from 1 species